rfam:Helianthus annuus linkage group 3, whole genome shotgun sequence.
AUACCUUUCUCUGCCUUUUGGCUAAGAUCAAGUGUAGUAUCUGUUCUUAUCAGUUUAAUAUCUGAUAUGUGGGCCAUUGGCUCACUUGAUAUUAAUCUUAUUUUUUAUGGGGAAAGACCCAAC